AGUGAACGCUGGCGGUAGACUUAACACAUGCAAGUCGAACGGCAGCACAGUAAGAGCUUGCUCUUACGGGUGGCGAGUGGCGGACGGGUGAGGAAUACAUCGGAAUCUACUUUUUCGUGGGGGAUAACGUAGGGAAACUUACGCUAAUACCGCAUACGACCUACGGGUGAAAGCAGGGGAUCUUCGGACCUUGCGCGAUUGAAUGAGCCGAUGUCGGAUUAGCUAGUUGGCGGGGUAAAGGCCCACCAAGGCGACGAUCCGUAGCUGGUCUGAGAGGAUGAUCAGCCACACUGGAACUGAGACACGGUCCAGACUCCUACGGGAGGCAGCAGUGGGGAAUAUUGGACAAUGGGCGCAAGCCUGAUCCAGCCAUACCGCGUGGGUGAAGAAGGCCUUCGGGUUGUAAAGCCCUUUUGUUGGGAAAGAAAAGCAGCAGGUUAAUACCCCGCUGUUCUGACGGUACCCAAAGAAUAAGCACCGGCUAACUUCGUG
rnacentral:rRNA from 1 species